rnacentral:rRNA from 1 species
AUGAAGGAGGCAAGAUGGCAGCUUUAUCAUGGUUGUACCAAGUUUUCAAGGUUCUCCUUUGUGGUAAAGCUUCUUCACUUGAAGUCAUACCAUAGGAUCCCGAAUAGUGCAUUUACUGAAAUUUUGAAGCUAUUAGCUGAAGCAUUCCCUGAAUCCAAUACGCUCCCAAAAUCGUAUAAGGAAGCAAAGAACCUUCUAAAGGAAUUAGGCCUUGGGUAUGAGUCUAUACAUGUGUGCUUCAAUAAUUGCAUUCUACUCAGAAAGCAAUAUGCCAAUCAUGACAAUUGCCCAGUUUGUGGCCUAUCAAGGUGGAAAGACCCUGCUAGAAAGAAGAUUCCACAGAAAGUGUUGAGGCAUUUUCCAUUGGUGCCUAGGCUAAAGAGGAUGUUUCUUUCCAAAAAAGGCGCAGAAGAAGCA